rnacentral:rRNA from 1 species
AGAGUUUGAUCAUGGCUCAGAUUGAACGCUGGCGGCAGGCCUAACACAUGCAAGUCGAGCGGUAGCACAGAGAGCUUGCUCUCGGGUGACGAGCGGCGGACGGGUGAGUAAUGUCUGGGAAACUGCCUGAUGGAGGGGGAUAACUACUGGAAACGGUAGCUAAUACCGCAUAACGUCGCAAGACCAAAGUGGGGGACCUUCGGGCCUCAUGCCAUCAGAUGUGCCCAGAUGGGAUUAGCUAGUAGGUGGGGUAACGGCUCACCUAGGCGACGAUCCCUAGCUGGUCUGAGAGGAUGACCAGCCACACUGGAACUGAGACACGGUCCAGACUCCUACGGGAGGCAGCAGUGGGGAAUAUUGCACAAUGGGCGCAAGCCUGAUGCAGCCAUGCCGCGUGUGUGAAGAAGGCCUUCGGGUUGUAAAGCACUUUCAGCGGGGAGGAAGGCGGUGAGGUUAAUAACCUCAUCGAUUGACGUUACCCGCAGAAGAAGCACCGGCUAACUCCGUGCCAGCAGCCGCGGUAAUACGGAGGGUGCAAGCGUUAAUCGGAAUUACUGGGCGUAAAGCGCACGCAGGCGGUCUGUCAAGUCGGAUGUGAAAUCCCCGGGCUCAACCUGGGAACUGCAUUCGAAACUGGCAGCUAGAGUCUUGUAGAGGGGGGUAGAAUUCCAGGUGUAGCGUGAAAUGCGUAGAGAUCUGGAGAUACCGGUGGCGAAGCGGCCUCCUGGACAAAGA